AUGGAGUGGCUCAACGAGUACGAGAAGCUGGUCAUCAGGAUGGACACCCCCAAGGUGGUCAUCGACAAUGCCGUCUGCCCCACGGCCACGCUCGUCCAGGUCGACAGCGCGAGGAAGAGAGGCGUCCUGCUCGAGGCGGUCCAGGUUCUCGCGGACCUCGACCUGUCUAUCAACAAGGCCUACAUCUCCUCCGACGGCAGGUGGUUCAUGGAUGUCUUCCAUGUCACCGACCGCCUCGGCCGGAAGCUCACCGACGACAGCGUCAUCACCUACAUCCAGCAGUCUAUCGGGACCUGGAACGGACCGUCCAAGCCGGCGGCGCUCGAUGGGCUAACGGUGCUGGAGCUGACGGGCGCCGACCGCACGGGGCUCAUCUCCGAGGUGUUCGCCGUGCUGGCCGACAUGAGCUGCAGCGUCGUGGAUGCCAGGGCGUGGUCGCACCGCGGCCGCCUCGCCUGCCUCGUGUACCUGCGGCACGAGGAUGUGUGCGCCGCCAGUGUGGAGCGUAUCGAGGCCCGCCUUGCCCCGCUCCUUCGCGGAGACUCGGAGGCCAGCGGCGGCGCCGUGGCUGCCGUCUCCGCCGGCUCCAUCGCGCACGCCGACCGGCGCCUCCAUCAGCUCAUGUACGCCAGCCGCGACCAGGAGCGCGCGUUCCCAACUCCCUUGGUGUCUGUGGAGAGCUGGGCCGAGCGCGGGUACUCGGUGGUCACCGUCCAGUGCCCGGACCGCCCAAAGCUGCUCUACGACGUCGUGUGCACGCUCACCGACAUGGACUACCUCGUCUUCCACGGCACCAUCGACACCAACGCGGGCCAAGCGAGGCAGGAGUUCUACAUCCGUCACACCGACGGGAGCCCCAUCCGCUCCGAGGCCGAGAUGCAGCGAGUGAGCCAAUGCCUGCAAGACGCCAUAGAACGGAGAUCAUUUGAGGGAGUGAGGCUGGAGCUGUGCACGCCAGACCGCCCGGGACUGCUGUCAGACGUCACCCGGACGUUCAGGGAAAACGGACUGCUCGUGGCGCAGGCAGAGGUUUCAACCAAGGGCGACAUGGCCACCAACGUGUUCUAUGUCACCGGCACCACCGCCGGCCAGGCCGUCCAGCAGAACGCCAUUGAAGCCGUGAGGGAGAAGGUUGGCGUGGACUGCCUUGUCGUCGAGGAGCACCGGCCGCAGCUCUACCAGAAGGCCCGCGGUCAGGAUGACCGGGACGACCGCAACGGCGCCGGCAUUGGGCUGUUCUACCUCGGCAACCUUGUGAAGAGGAAUCUCUACAACCUGGGCCUGAUCAAAUCUUGCUCAUGA
rnacentral:rRNA from 1 species